rnacentral:rRNA from 1 species
GACGAACGCUGGCGGCGUGCCUAAUACAUGCAAGUGGGACGCAAGGAAACACACUGUGCUUGCACACCGUGUUUUCUUGAGUCGCGAACGGGUGAGUAACGCGUAGGUAACCUGCCUAUUAGCGGGGGAUAACUAUUGGAAACGAUAGCUAAUACCGCAUCAUAUUAAUUAUUGCAUGAUAAUUGAUUGAAAGAUGCAAGCGCAUCACUAGUAGAUGGACCUGCGUUGUAUUAGCUAGUUGGUAAGGUAAGAGCUUACCAAGGCGACGAUACAUAGCCGACCUGAGAGGGUGAUCGGCCACACUGGGACUGAGACACGGCCCAGACUCCUACGGGAGGCAGCAGUAGGGAAUCUUCGGCAAUGGACGAAAGUCUGACCGAGCAACGCCGCGUGAGUGAAGAAGGUUUUCGGAUCGUAAAGCUCUGUUGUAAGUCAAGAACGUGUGUGAGAGUGGAAAGUUCACACAGUGACGGUAGCUUACCAGAAAGGGACGGCUAACUACGUG